GAAAGAGAUAUGGAAGGGAAUAUAUGAAGCGGCUGAGAACAAAGGCCUGGACCAGGCGGCCGAGGUCGUGUUCACGCAUGCCGUGGUGACUGUUGGCAAUGCGGCGUAUUAGACGGAUGGUCUGGUGAACAGUGUUUAUGAGUCGAGUGAUGAGGGUGGUGUGCUGGCCAUUGGACUGAAGAAAGAGUCCGAGGAUGCGGAGGGUAGAGACGAGGGGAAGGGGUGUGCC
rnacentral:lncRNA from 1 species